CUCCAUUUAGUCAAACUCUCAGCCAACCAGACCAGCUGUCAGAUACUUUUCUGCCUAUUGAAUCUGACAGGCUGCGUUUUCAUUGGCUGCCGUUCCGUUCAGUCAUUGGUAAUACCUUGAUGUCAAGCCUCCCUGCAGCAUUUAUCUGUCAACACACAGAAGUUUUCAGACAUUUACAGUACUCAGCUCCACAACUUCUAAGACUUUGAAAAUCUUUGCAAUCUGAGAAAUCUGACAUUUUCGCUGAAAGAGCCUCUUUGAAAUCUCAGCCAAACUGAUGAUGUGCACACCCCCGCAUACAAUAUAUAAAAACCGUGCGCCUCCUACCAGUUUAAGGUUCUUAUAGAAAGAAGCUCUCUCCCAACAAUAUCUGAUUUAGUUCCACAGAUUUUAUUCAAUGUCUAAAUGGCGAGAUUCUCAGGAGAGGAUCGUGUGAAGUGGCCGUUUUACAGAACGGUCUAAUGAGUGAUUCCUCCACCUCCUCACGGUGACACAGGCGGUGACCCCUCCGUCAUUAUGAUUAUCAGUUCGAAGUCAGAAAUGCUCUUGGGGAGUGGAGACAGGGAAGGUGACGGUCCCGGGGAAAAGUCUCUUGUCCAGACAGCAGUGUGUGUGUGUGUGUGUGUGUGUGGUCCAGUCUGGAGGGGUGAAAGAGAUGCAGUCUGCCCUUCUGCUGUCCGUUUACUAUGCCAAGAUCAGACAUGCCACCUCACUCACACAGCGGCAUGGGAGCAACGCACUAACUAAUGAGGCCAGAGCUUUGUGCUCACAGACACACGGUGCUCAAACACCAACACAUUCAGCAGGCAGCUGGAACACACAGACGUUUGUUUUCUAUCAUAGUGGGACUUUCCAUUGAUUAUGUGUUGAGAUAAGAAUGUUUUUGUUUUUUUUUCCUUUUUUCGAAUUUGGAUUAAAGCCUUGAGUAUGUUUAUUAAACUGUUUUCUAAGUGGGACUAUUGGCUGACCCCACAAUGUAUUAUUCAUGUCAGUUCAUAAAUAAUAAAUACAUUCAUUAUCAUAACAUCAUUAGUGAUAAUUAUAGUGCAUUUUUUUAGUCUAAAAUGCUUAGAAUUAUAUUUAUUGUAUAUUUACUGUAUAUUAAUAGUGCAAAAGAUUAGGGUCAGUAAAUUAUUUUUUAAAGAAAUUAACACUUUUAUUCAGAAGUGACCACAAGUGAGAGUUAAGACAUUUAUAAUAUAAAAAAAUCCUAUUUCAAGUGUUCUUUUGAAUUUCCUCUUCAUUAAAAAAUCAAACAAACAAAAAAACAAACAAACAAACAAACAAAAAAAACAUUCAGUAAUACAGUUAAUAUUUAGCCACACAACUAUUUUCAACAUUGAUAAUAAUCAGAAAUGUUUCUUGAGCAGCAAAUCAUCAUAUUAGAAUGAUUUCUGAACGAUCAUGUGACACUAAAGACUGGAGUAAUGAUCCUGAAAAUUCCGGAAAAAAAUACAUUUUAAAAUAUUUUCAAAUAGAAAAUAGUUAUUGUGAAUUGUAUUCAUAUUUUUAGAAUAUUACUGUUUUUAUUAUAUUUUUAAUAUGAAAAAGAUGCCUUGGUGAGCAUAAGAGAGUACAGUGGUAUAUUUGUUUGAUUUACAUAAAUGUCCUCUCUGUCUUUCUCUCUCUAAAAUAUAAAUAGUAACCAAACAUAUAUAAAUAUAGAAUAGACUCUAUACCCACACAGACACGCACAAACACACACCUCACUUCAGGCUCGCUGCUGUUGCACACUGUACUGUUCAUGAGGCACCUGCAGGGGAUUUCUCCAGGACUCCCUCUGAGUCUACCUUAUCUCCUGUUCUCUCUCCCUCUCUCUCUCUCGAUGUUCCCUUCUUUUCCCUCAUCUCAAAAUGAGGGAAAAGUAUCAAAAUCAGUCUCCUCUCCCAACUAAAGCCUUUCCGCUCACUCACAGCCCCCACGGAAUCUGCAGCAUUCCUCUGAGAAUUUUCUAGAGAAUUUGAACGGCUGUUGUUCUACACAUGCUCACCCUCACUAGCAUGUUUGUUUAUUAAAUACUGUAGUUUAACUAAUUUGAUGAUGCUUGCACUACCCCCAUGCUGUCAGCUC
ensembl:lncRNA